CCUACGGGUGGCAGCAGUAGGGAAUAUUGCUCAAUGGGGGAAACCCUGAAGCAGCAACGCCGCGUGGAGGAUGAAGGUUUUCGGAUUGUAAACUCCUUUUGUUAGAGAAGAUAAUGACGGUAUCUAACGAAUAAGCACCGGCUAACUCCGUGUCAGCAGCCGCGGUAAUACGGAGGGUGCAAGCGUUACUCGGAAUUACUGGGCGUAAAGAGGGCGUAGGCGGGAUAGCAAGUCAGAUGUGAAAUCCAAUGGCUUAACCAUGGAACUGCAUUUGAAACUGUUAUUCUAGAGUAUGGGAGAGGUAGGUGGAAUUCUUGGUGUAGGGGUAAAAUCCGUAGAGAUCAAGAGGAAUACUCAUUGCGAAGGCGACCUGCUAGAACAUAACUGACGCUGAUGCGCGAAAGCGUGGGGAGCAAACAGGAUUAGAUACCCCAGUAGUC
rnacentral:rRNA from 1 species